GCUUAUGCUAGAGAGAAAAAGGAAAAGCCACCCUUUUUACCAGAGGAGCCCUCCUCCUCCUCCGCAGACAGGCCUGUUCCAAACGAGUUGUUAUGUCCCAUUUGUAAAGAUCCAGUGACGGAUGCAGCGCUUAUUCCAUGCUGUGGAGCAAGUUAUUGUGACGAAUGUAUUAGAACAGCUUUACUGGAAUCGGAGGAACAUACUUGCCCGGCGUGUCAUCAGACAGGUGUUUCUCCUGACGCUUUAGUUGCCAACAACUUCCUGCGCCAGGCUGUGAACAACUUCCACAAUGGAACCGGCUACACAACAGGGCUCCAUAAGGAGA